GAUGAACGCUGGCGGCGUGCCUAAUACAUGCCAGUCGAGCGAACAGACGAGGCGCUUGCUCCUCUGACGUUAGCGGCGGACGGGUGAGUAACACGUGGAUAACCUACCUAUAAGACUGGGAUAACUUCGGGAAACCGGAGCUAAUACCGGAUAAUAUAUUGAACCGCAUGGUUCAAUAGUGAAAGACGGUUUUGCUGUCACUUAUAGAUGGAUCCGCGCCGCAUUAGCUAGUUGGUAAGGUAACGGCUUACCAAGGCAACGAUGCGUAGCCGACCUGAGAGGGUGGUCGGCCACACUGGAACUGAGACACGGUCCAGACUCCUACGGGAGGCAGCAGUAGGGAAUCUUACGCAAUGGGCGGAAGCCUGACGGAGCAACGCCGCGUGAGUGAUGAAGGUCUUCGGAUCGUAAAACUCUGUUAUUAGGGAUGAACAACUGUGUAAGUUACUAUGCACGUCGUGACGGUACCUGGUCAGAAAGCCACGGCUAACUACGUG
rnacentral:rRNA from 1 species